rnacentral:tRNA from 1 species
AAGGAUUUAAGUUAAAAAAAACUCACAGCCUUCAAAGCUGUAAAUAAAGGAGAGAGCUUUAAGCCUUG